UACAUAGGAUGCAAGCGUUAUUCGGAUUUACUGGGCGUAAAGAGAGCGCGGGCGGAUUUGCAAGUCUGGUGUGAAAUACAACUGCUUAACGGUUGUAUGCAUUUGAAACUGGAAAUCUAGAGUGUAGUAGAGAGGUUUGGAACUCCAUGUGUAGCGGUGAAAUGCGUAGAUAUAUGGAAGAAUACCAGUGGCGAAGGCGAAAACUUAGACUAUUACUGACGCUUAUGCUCGAAAGCGUGGGGAGCAAACAGG
rnacentral:rRNA from 1 species